rnacentral:tRNA from 1 species
GGAGAGGUGGCCGAGUGGUUGAAGGCGGCGGUUUGCUAAACCGUUAUACGGGGGAAACCCUGUAUCAAGGGUUCGAAUCCCUUCCUCUCCG